UACGAAGGGGGCGAGCGUUAUUCGGAAUCACUGGGCGUAAAGCGUGCGUAGGCUGCUCGGAAAGUUGGGAGUGAAAGCCCAGGGCUCAACCCUGGAAUUGCUCUCAAAACUACCGAGCUCGGAUUCGGGAGAGGAUAGCGGAAUUGUCAGUGUAGCAGUGAAAUGCGUAGAUAUUGACAGGAACACCAGUGGCGCAAGCGGCUAUCUGGACCGACAUCGACGCUGAGGCACGAAAGCGUGGGGAUCAAACAGG
rnacentral:rRNA from 1 species